AUGAACCAGGCUGCAUGUCUAGGCUCUGAGAACAGCGUGGGCAAUGGAAUCUCCCUGCACAUACCCCACCGGAGAAUGCCCUCCACCUGGAGGAAUGCCCAUGUUCUCCUGGAGUCAAAGCCUCCGGAGCUAGUGUGGGCUGCAGAGGGCAUGAGCCAAGAUGAAAGGGCUCCUUUCCUCAGCUGGAGACACAGAGUUGGAGCAGACAGCCCUCAGCCUUUAGGUGUUCUGGAGAUCAAUCACACCGUCCUCAAGUGCACCCUUGAGAACCGGCUGGAAGAUGAGACAGUGAAUUCCCAUCCGCCAGAUUCACUGCACUUGUUAUGACCUGUUGCAUGUGACAAGAAGGAAAAGGACCUCUGGCCUGACGCCCUGGAGCAAGGUGGGGUGCUGCCCCGAAGACCCAUACGCUUUCCUCCAUGCUUCUCCAGAUCGGAUCUCUGGGUUUGGAGCAGAUGAGAAGAGCAAUUGGCUCCAUGACUGGUAGGACUAUCCAAACAGAUGACCCUACUGUUGGCUAAACAAAGUGUAUUAUAGGGACUUCCCCAGUGUUCCAGUGGUAAAGAAACCACCUUCCAGAGCAGGGGAUGCAGGUUUGAUCUCUGGUUGGGGAAUCAAGAUCCCACAUGCCCUUUGGCAACUAAGCCCAUACUCUACAACUACCGAACUUGAGCUCUGGAGCUACAACUAGAGAGGAAAAUCCCAUGUGUUGCAACUAAGACCCAACACAGUCAAAUAAAUAGAUAUUAAAAUGAAAAAUGUGUUCUAGGAAGUUGGAGCAGAAAAGCAUACACAAGCUAAGAAGGUGAAAGCAAGGCGACAGUUAAUAAUUGAACAGAGGACUAAGCCUGAUGGAAUAUCUGCUGGAGAGGGGCCCCAGGCCUGACAUCCAGAGUGGGGUGAGGGGCUAUUGAGGAUUGGAUGGGGAGGCAGAAGCAGGUAUAGAUUAACUAUUUACUGGAUGAAGACUUAGCUUGGCUGCCUCCAAAAUGCCUUUCAUCUGCUGGAAACUCUCUUCCUGGUCCCAGAAGGUGUAUGGGGCUUAAUGCCUCAGCUUACGACCUAUAGAUAAUGGAACUGAGAAGAAACUCCAAGGCAGACAACAGGGUCCCUCUGUGAGCCUCUAAGCUAGAGAACCAGAGUUGGGGACCAAACAAAGUUAAGGACCCUAGAGAGAUCAAGCUUGUCCCUGAGAACUUCUAGAGUAGAAAAGGCCAGGUAAGGAUCCUGAGCCACGGGGAAUCUGACUAGAGGUGGGGACCAGCCGGCAUCUUGGGGGCUCCAGAUUUAGCUCUGUGGGGGAGGGUGGUUAAACUGUAACUUUUUACAGAGCAUCUGUGUUGAGUCCCAUGCAUGGGCUUUGAAACCAAGCUCCAGCAGUGGCAAGCGUCCUCCUUCCCACUCUGUGUGGUGCGAUGGGAUGUAAUGGGGCCUGAGCCUUGGGGUAAAUAGGUCUGGGGUACUGUGGCGCCGAUCGCAAACCUCCCCACUCUUAGCCGGCCUUAGCUCCAUUCCCAGGCUUAGGUAAGAGGAACCCCAGAUUAUGGUUGGAGGGCCAGAGGAAGGUCAUGCCUGCUUCUCUGAAGAAGACUGUUCUCUUAGGCUUUGAUGAAGCUGCCAAUACUAGGCCUUAAGCC
rnacentral:lncRNA from 1 species